rnacentral:lncRNA from 1 species
CCUUUUCGGGUCUGUCCGUCAGGACGUGACCGCAGAGUGUGGCAGCUGGCCAGCAAGGGCUUUUGUUACGUACAGGCGGUACAGCGCACACCGCACUUGGACUGGGUGCUCGCACACAGGAGCCGCCGGCCGCCCGGCCCGGACGUGUAUGGCAUAGCAGGCUGGGGCGCUGGGCAUGGUGCGAGCUCGCCAUGCAGAGCAGAGGUGACCUCUGGAAAGCGGUGCU